rnacentral:rRNA from 1 species
GGUUAAGCGACUAAGCGUACACGGUGGAUGCCCUGGCAGUCAGAGGCGAUGAAGGACGUGCUAAUCUGCGAUAAGCGUCGGUAAGGUGAUAUGAACCGUUAUAACCGGCGAUUUCCGAAUGGGGAAACCCAGUGUGUUUCGACACACUAUCAUUAACUGAAUCCAUAGGUUAAUGAGGCGAACCGGGGGAACUGAAACAUCUAAGUACCCCGAGGAAAAGAAAUCAACCGAGAUUCCCCCAGUAGCGGCGAGCGAACGGGGAGGAGCCCAGAGCCUGAAUCAGUGUGUGUGUUAGUGGAAGCGUCUGGAAAGGUGCGCGAUACAGGGUGACAGCCCCGUACACAAAAAUGCACAUGCUGUGAGCUCGAUGAGUAGGGCGGGACACGUGGUAUCCUGUCUGAAUAUGGGGGGACCAUCCUCCAAGGCUAAAUACUCCUGACUGACCGAUAGUGAACCAGUACCGUGAGGGAAAGGCGAAAAGAACCCCGGCGAGGGGAGUGAAAAAGAACCUGAAACCGUGUACGUACAAGCAGUGGGAGCAUGCUUAGGCGUGUGACUGCGUACCUUUUGUAUAAUGGGUCAGCGACUUAUAUUCUGUAGCAAGGUUAACCGAAUAGGGGAGCCGAAGGGAAACCGAGUCUUAACUGGGCGUUAAGUUGCAGG